CAAUAGCCAAGGUGAAAGCAUCUCCACAAGCGGCCAUGGUGAUGCCCUGCAGCCCUGGGACCAGGUAAGGAACACGGCUGCUGCGACGGGAGCUGCAGCCCAUCUGACCAUGCUGGUUGCUGCCAAAGAAUGGGCUGUCCCGAUGUCAAUGUGAACUAUCUUCUCACUGUCGAGUGGGGCCGAUUGGACAUGAGUGUAAGAGUUGACUUCUUCCACCUGAUUCGAGGGAUUUGAUUCCUCUCCAACUGUUAUCUGGUCCAGCCCAAGCUUAUUGAACCUGAUCACACAGAAACCACAAUCAAGGCCACAAUGCUGUACUGGGUGCUGAUAAUCAUGGAGCAGUCGACUCCACAAAUAACCCUCUGGGCCUCAAAUUCCACAGGCAAAUACUUCUCUUUCAUUGGUCACAGCGAGUACGUGGGAAGCACCACACAACAUCUGAACCAGCUCGUAGCCGAGGAGGGCCUCAACUAUCUUUGGCUGAGCAAAAAAACAGAGACAAAAGAUAUGUCAUCAUUGUCGUGUUUUAAUCACAAAUCUAAAGCAACAUGUCUUCCUGGUUACCCAGUGUAAGUAUACAAUUUAUCAUACAAAUGCAACAUUCAAUUCAUGCCAGGGACCUCUGUUGCAUGUCUCAUGAGUCUCCUUCUUGUUUUCUGCCAACCUCUCCAGUCAUUACUAUCAACUGUCCAAUCAUUUUUUAAUUUUUCAUAAUUCUCUUAAAUAUUUUGACAGGAAAUGCACAUGAAAGCAUUAGUGAUGAGUAAUUUGCUUCAUAGGCACAUAGAGUAUAAAUCACACAGGCGCAACUUUUACAAAUGUACGUACAGCAAAAACGCUAAUUGUUUUUAAAUACCAAAGAUGUCGAUGUUUUAAAUUGAAUGGGAUUUAGAUGGUGGUGUGACAUUGAAUUACAUACUGUAUAUCUCAAAGCACUGUAAGUGCUGACAACUUCUGUUGACAUAGUGUGAAUACAAAUCCAAGGAAUAAACUCAGUUGCCAGUUUAUAAGGUACACAAGCUUAAACAAAUCUACCAGUCUCAUACAGUCAUUGUUUUAAUACCAUGUAAGGACUUUAAUGUUUUUGUUGAAACUGUUUUAGAGAUACAAUGAUUCAGCUUUGUGAUAAUCUUGAAGGUUAAAGAUUGCGGUGCUGUUUAAAUGCAUGGCAUUUCACUAAGAGUUGUUUCUAAUAUUUAGCAAAAUUGAUAUAAACAAGGUGAACACAAAAUGAGAAACUAUAGUAGAACUCAUUGCAGUGCUGUUGUAAUAGACUGUAUUACUUUAAAUGGGUGUAUCUAAAAACUGUCGACUAAGUGUACAUUUAAUCUACGUAUUUCCCUUUGAAUGGUGGACAUGUACCUGUGUUACAUCAUUGAAGUUUCCGUGUCCCAGACAGCCAUUGCUCCCACUUCCAAAUGUCAUGAUAAUGCCCCUGUCUGCAAAUUGAAAAUAAAAAGAAGGGAUUAAAGACACGAUGACCACAUGACUGUAGGUGUAUUCUUAUGUACACCAACACAACGCUUCUAAUCCUCAUCUAGGAAACGCUAAUCUGCAUCUCUACAGUGAAAAGUGAUGAAAGAGAGGGAAGGGUCUUUAAUCCCGUGUUAUCUGUUUCACAUUACUGGGCAGACA